AACGGGUGAGUAACACGUGAGCAACCUGCCCUCCACUUCGGGAUAAGCCUUGGAAACGGGGUCUAAUACCGGAUAUGAGCCUGCAUCGCAUGGUGUGGGUUGGAAAGUUUUUCGGUGGGGGAUGGGCUCGCGGCCUAUCAGCUUGUUGGUGGGGUGAUGGCCUACCAAGGCGUCGACGGGUAGCCGGCCUGAGAGGGCGACCGGCCACACUGGGACUGAGACACGGCCCAGACUCCUACGGGAGGCAGCAGUGGGGAAUAUUGCACAAUGGGCGAAAGCCUGAUGCAGCGACGCCGCGUGAGGGAUGACGGCCUUCGGGUUGUAAACCUCUUUCAGCAGGGAAGAAGCGCAAGUGACGGUACCUGCAGAAGAAGCGCCGGCUAACUACGUGCCAGCAGCCGCGGUAAUACGUAGGGCGCAAGCGUUGUCCGGAAUUAUUGGGCGUAAAGAGCUCGUAGGCGGUCUGUCGCGUCU
rnacentral:rRNA from 1 species